ACAUAAGAAGGUCUCCUGAGGUGAAAGACGCAACUACCAGACCUUGACUUGACCAUUUUACAACCAUUUCUCUGGACGCUUGUGUCGUGGAUAGAGUCAAGCUGAGUAUUCUAUUUAUAGACCUCCUGCUGUUGAACCUACUGUUAAACCUACUGUUGAACCUACUGUUGAACCCACUGUUGAACCUAUUGUUGAACCUGCUGUUGAACCUACUAUCGAACCGACUGUUGUACCUACCUCACUAUGGCUUUUAUUUACAAAUAUCCGGCAGUAGUCCUAACUUUCAUGACUCUGACCAGUCACGUGAUCUCACAGGACAGAUCGAGAGCCAGCAUAUUGAACAGUGACCCCAUUCAGAUGGGAGAUUUGGGGGUGCCUCCUGCCACGUCCACUAUUAUCUUAUACGAUUGCACGGCUACGCAUCGGGCCAAGGCAGACAAUCCAGGGGCGUUUCAAGUGUUUCAUAAUGGCGAAUGGUGGUCACAGCUCUGCCAGGAAGGACUGAUCUGGAACCAGACGUUGUGCCGGUGUGAAUACCCUCAUGGGCGUAGACCUGAAAGAGAG
rnacentral:sRNA from 1 species